AAUCAACGCUGGCGGCGUGCCUCAGACAUGCAAGUCGAACGAUUAAAGCUCUCUUCGGAGAGUGCAUAGAGUGGCGCACGGGUGAGUAACACGUAAGUAAUCUACCUUCGAGUGGGGAAUAACGUCCGGAAACGGGCGCUAAUACCGCAUAAUGCAGCGGCAUCGCAAGAUGACAGUUGUUAAAGGAGCAAUCCGCUUGAAGAGGAGCUUGCGGCAGAUUAGCUAGUUGGUAGGGUAAUGGCCUACCAAGGCUACGAUCUGUAACCGGUCUUAGAGGACGGUCGGUCACACUGACACUGAAUAACGGGUCAGACUCCUACGGGAGGCAGCAGUCGGGAA
rnacentral:rRNA from 1 species